rnacentral:rRNA from 1 species
AAAACAUCUUUUCUUGUUAGUUUUUGAAGUAUGGCCUGCCCGCUGACAUUUGGUGUUGAAGGGCCGCGGUAUUUUGACCGUGCAAAGGUAGCAUAAUCAUUAGUUCUUUAAUUGUGAUCUGGAAUGAAUGGCUUGACGAGGCACGGGCUGUCUUAGUGUUGAAUGUUUUAUUGAAUUUGGUCUUUGAGUUAAAAUUCUUAGAUGUUUUUGUGGGACGAGAAGACCCUAUAGAGUUUGACAUUUGGUUUAUUUACUUGUUUGUUGUUUGUUUAUUUUUGGUGAGUGGGCUUUUUGUUUUGUUGGGGUGAUGGGAGGAAUGUACUUAACUCCUCUUAGUUUUGGUUAUAUUGAUUUAUAAUUGUUUGAUCCAUUUAUUUUGAUUAUAAGACUAAAUUACCUUAGGGAUAACAGCGU